UUCAAUCUAUGAUGAAAAAGAAUCAUUGACCUUACCUAUCUGUGAUGAUUAUAUGAAACAAUCACCAUCUUUUGGCUGAGAUUGUA